rnacentral:rRNA from 1 species
GAGUUUGAUCAUGGCUCAGGAUGAACGCUGGCGGCGUGCCUAAUACAUGCAAGUCGAGCGAACGGACGAGAAGCUUGCUUCUCUGAUGUUAGCGGCGGACGGGUGAGUAACACGUGGAUAACCUACCUAUAAGACUGGGAUAACUUCGGGAAACCGGAGCUAAUACCGGAUGAUAUUUUUGAACCGCAUGGUUCAAAAGUGAAAGACGGUCUUGCUGUCACUUAUAGAUGGAUCCGCGCUGCAUUAGCUAGUUGGUAAGGUAACGGCUUACCAAGGCAACGAUGCAUAGCCGACCUGAGAGGGUGAUCGGCCACACUGGAACUGAGACACGGUCCAGACUCCUACGGGAGGCAGCAGUAGGGAAUCUUCCGCAAUGGGCGAAAGCCUGACGGAGCAACGCCGCGUGAGUGAUGAAGGU